AUGCCGUUGUCUCAGGUUCCGAAGUUUUCAUCUCUGCCCGAUGAGUUGAGGGAUGGCCGUGGUGUUGAGGGUGCUGCGUUGGAGCGCGCUGAGCAUAUCUUAAGUAAUGUGUGUUCUGAGCUGCAAAAGGUCCCAACCACAGUUGAGCGUCUGAGCUAUAUCAGUGGUAUCCUUCCUGAAGGUCAUCAAUUUAAUGCUGAGGAAGCUGUUGACUACAUUGAGAUGGAGAGAAUUUUAAUCGGUGAUAUGCGUGAUGGUGCCGCUGAUCUAGUUCAGAGCUCGGUUCGUCUAUUGAACAACAUGAAGUGUUUCAUAACUAUGCAAGACUCUCGCUGCAAGCCAUAUGAAGAAAGUGCAAAUGUUGUUAUCAAGCAGAUUGAGCAAGAUGAGGCUGCUGCCACCGACACCAGGCUGGUGAUGAUACUGAGGCUAAUGUUUCUGAUCACGAAACAAGUGAUGUUGGCUUGGAGCGUCCUGAUGUUGAUAUUGAUCAGGAUGAGGCUGCUGGCACCGAUAGCAGGGCUGAUGAUGGUACCAAGGCUAAUGUUUUUGAUUAGCAUACGAAUGAUGUUGGCUUGCAGAACCCUGUUGUUGAUGAGACCAGUCAUAAUGUUGAGGCUGCUGUUGACCAUGGAGUUAAUGAUCCAUCCACUGAUAAGUGCAAGGGUCCUCUUGUUGGCGAUGAGCCUUGUUUGCCCGUUGGUGAUGUUGCUUUGA
rnacentral:rRNA from 1 species